GAUGAACGCUGGCGGCGUGCCUAAUACAUGCAAGUCGAGCGAACGGACGAGAAGCUUGCUUCUCUGAUGUUAGCGGCGGACGGGUGAGUAACACGUGGAUAACCUACCUAUAAGACUGGGAUAACUUCGGGAAACCGUAGCUAAUACCGGAUCAUAUUUUGAACCGCAUGGUUCAAAAGUGAAAGACGGUCUUGCUGUCACUUAUAGCUGGAUCCGCGCUGCAUUAGCUAGUUGGUAAGGUAACGGCUUACCAAGGCAACGAUGCAUAGCCGACCUGAGAGGGUGAUCAGCCACACUGGAACUGAGACACGGUCCAGACUCCUACGGGAGGCAGCAGUAGGGAAUCUUCCGCAAUGGGCGAAAGCCUGACGGAGCAACGCCGCGUGAGUGAUGAAGGUCUUCGGAUCGUAAAACUCUGUUAUUAGGGAAGAACAUAUGUGUAAGUAACUGUGCACAUCUUGACGGUACCUAAUCAGAAAGCCACGGCUAACUACGUG
rnacentral:rRNA from 1 species